CCUACGGGUCGCAGCAGUGGGGAAUAUUGCACAAUGGGCGCAAGCCUGAUGCAGCCAUGCCGCGUGUAUGAAGAAGGCCUUCGGGUUGUAAAGUACUUUCAGCGAGGAGGAAGGCGAUAAGGUUAAUAACCUUGUCGAUUGACGUUACUCGCAGAAGAAGCACCGGCUAACUCCGUGCCAGCAGCCGCGGUAAUACGGAGGGUGCAAGCGUUAAUCGGAAUUACUGGGCGUAAAGCGCACGCAGGCGGUCUGUUAAGUCAGAUGUGAAAUCCCCGGGCUCAACCUGGGAACUGCAUCUGAUACUGGCAAGCUUGAGUCUCGUAGAGGGGGGUAGAAUUCCAGGUGUAGCGGUGAAAUGCGUAGAGAUCUGGAGGAAUACCGGUGGCGAAGGCGGCCCCCUGGACGAAGACUGACGCUCAGGUGCGAAAGCGUGGGGAGCGAACAGGAUUAGAUACCCUCGUAGUC
rnacentral:rRNA from 1 species